rnacentral:misc_RNA from 1 species
GUAGGUGAACCUGCGGAAGGAUCAUUACAAAAAAUCCAAUGGCUAGCAUACUCUCAAGCAUGCGAAUCAUCAAACCAUUUCUGAGUACAUUACUUCCGCGUUGCUUUCGCAGGUGGACCGGCGUGACGGGGGACGAGAGUCCGCAUCACGUCGUAAAAUUGGACCGGCGUGACGGGGGACGAGGGUCCGCAUCGCGUCGUAAAAUCUGCGAAAGGGUCUGAGUUUUCUUAUUAUUAAAUUCUUCGUUUAACCGUCGUUCAAUUCUCGUCUGAAACAAACUACAAAACAAAAACAAAACUUUCAACAACGGACCUCUUGGUUCUC